CACGUGAAAGAGGUUUGCGUUACUUUUCCAAUGCAGUAACCCUGCCCCCACUGCCCUACGUCUCACCCUCCAGACCAUGUGACCCAGUGGCUAUCAGAUUAAAUCAAUUUUGCUCAUCAGGAAGGUUACUUUUCCUCCUAGCUGGGGAGUAAGUAAAAAGGAUGGAACAAGAAGCCAAAAUUAUGUUCUGAAAUUUUGCUCCUUCCUAAAGGAUUGUUGCCAUUUCAAGGAGGAGAGAGAGGUCAACUAAAGCUUUCUCAUUAACAGUUAAGAGCAGUGAUUAAAAUUUGCUUCUUGAAGAAUUAGUUGUGGUAGAAUAACAGAGAACAUACAUUCCAGAGAAGCCUAUGAGACAUUUUGAGGGGACACUGGACUCCUCCUUCUUUGUGUGACAUGCAGGAGAAUGGGUGAUUCCAGAUUAGAGAAUUUGGAGACCACAGGAUCACACAAAGGGAAAUAAAGAAUUAUAUUCCACUUAUCAGAGAAGAAAAAGAAGGAUAUGCUUGUGAUCCAUACUGGAAGAGUAAUUACAACAGGAUCUCUGAGAAUGGAAACAUUUUUCAAAGAACCUCAGAUGACUCUAACAAGAAGCCAGGAUGGAGAACUGCUGGGCAAGGAGCAACAGUUCAUUAAGACCAUUGCUUGCAACUAGAAGAAUUCUAAUUAUGGGCCUGUCUUUGUUUCAUUCAGCAGGGAUUCUGAUGAUGGAUUUAUGCCGAGCAUUUACUUGGUGAAUGGAUGCAAAUGCUAUGUUCUUUUAGAGUUGCUUGUAGAGAGCUAUACUAUAGCUGUUCUCGGUUUACAGAACAUUGCAGUACCCACUUGUGAUGUUCCAAGUGGGUAUAUUUAUUUUUUUAAUGGAAAAUGGAAUAGAAACAUACCUUACUUUGAGAUUCAGUAAUCCUCCGUGAUGUAGUUAGAGACACUUGGUUUUCUAGAACAAAAGUUGUCAUUAGUUUGGGUUGAUGCUUAAUGUUUUAUAUUUAAAUCGUACAUUUCUUUAAAUGUUUUUGAGCAUUACAUUAGACAGUAAUUCAUCUGGUAUUCAAUUGUAUCAGUGCAUCAGAUAACACAUUAAGAUCCAUUCCUUUCUUUGCAUUUGCAAUAUCACGAAGUAGAGAAGAGAGUCUGCUGGUUUUCCAUGCAUCUCCCUCUCGUCUUUAUCUAGGCUUAUAUAUGUAUAGAUCGUCUUGUUGUGUUUGGCUGUGGUGAGGGAUGUCACGGGUGUUUGGAUUCUGCAGAUAGUCCAAGACGUAAGAUCUUCAGAUGUGGAUAUAUUUAGAGUGAGCCAGAGAUAAAAAGUGGAGAAAAUUUUAAAGGUGUUGUCAAAGCUUGCCUCAAGCAAAAUUGUGAAAUAUGCCAAGAUUCUCACUGGAGCCUACCAGGCUCUGCAGUCCCCUAAUCUAUCUUUGCUUCCCAGAUGGUGGAGUGGUAAAGAAUCUGCCUGCCAAUGCAGGAGAGGCAACAGAUAUGGGUUCAAUCCCUGAGUUGGGAAUAUCCCCUGGAGUAGGAAAUGACAACCCACUCGAGUGUUCCUGCCUGAGAAAUCCCAUGCAGAGGGGAGCCUGAUGGAUUACAGUCCAUAGGGUUGCAAAGAAGCAGACACAAGUGAGCACGCAUGCAUGCAUCUAUCUUCUCUGUAGCUGUUUGCUAGGUAUCUUUCAGAUGCACAGUUUACACAGUCUCAGCUUUCACACCAUCUGCUGAAUUGUUGCUAAAUAAAGUCUUAUAUGGGAAGGGCUUUAAUAUUGACCCCUCCCAAGGAUGUUUAUUUUUUUAAUUUGGUAUUUAUCAAAAUUGACUUAUUAUAGAUGGAGAGAAAAAAUAUUUUUUAAAAAGUAACCAUUAUUUAUGAACUCAUUUAUCUGUAAAAGCAUUUUGCUAUAUACUGUAUUCAUUAUCACAUUUAAUCCUAAGUGUUCUAUGAGGUAGAGUAUAACUUAUAUCCAUUUUACAGAUGAGAACUUGAAGCUUAGAGCACUGAAACAAUUUGCCCCAAAUCAGAAAACUGGUGAGUUACAGACUUCAGAUUUGAACCCAGAUCUGUCUGAUUUCUAAAUCCACGUGCUUACCCAUUAGGCUCUAUUGGCUCUCAUGUUUUGGACUGGGGAUCACCUAUACAGCCUAUUCCUAACUUUAGAGAAAUUCAUGUGGUAUGAGUCUUAAGAAAACUACCUCAUGAUCCUAGCAGACUGGUCUACACUAUAUUGUAGAGCAUAUGAUUCAGAAGAGUAUGCUGCUGCUAAGUCGCUUCAGUUGUGUCCAACUCUCAGCAACCCCAUGGACUGCAGCCCACCAGGCUCCUCCGUCCAUGGGAUUUUCCAGGCAAGAGUACUGGAUCAGAAGAGUAUACUCUAGUGAUAAUACUAAGGUAUUAUUCCUCUAUUCAUAUUCUUGCUCAGACAGCAGCUUUAUGCUGAAACAGUUUUGCAGUUUGUAUAGUGGGUGUUUAAAUACACAGAGCUAUAUUGGGUAUUUCUCUGAAAGCUUUUAAAAUCCUCUCUUAGGUUCAUUUGGUAAUUCAGAGAUAAUUCGGUA